GUUCGACCUUUAAAAAAUCACAUGAUUUGAGUUCAGACCGGUGUAAGCCAGGUCGGUUUCUAUCUUCUAUAAAGUUUAUUACAGUACGAAAGGACCUAAUAAUAUUUUAUAUUAUUGGCAGAAAAAUGCAUUAGAAUUAGAAUCUAAUAACACUAAAAUUUAUUUUACCAUUAAUCUAAUUGUU
rnacentral:rRNA from 1 species